CCCUUAGAUGUCCGGGGCCGCACGCGCGCUACACUGAUGCAUUCAACGAGCCUAUCCUCGACCGACAGGUCCGGGUAAUCUUUGAAUCUGCAUCGUGACGGGGAUAGAUUAUUGCAAUUAUUAAUCUUCAACGAGGAAUGCCUAGUAGGCGCAAGUCAUCAGCUUGCGUCGAUUACGUCCCUGCCCUUUGUACACACCGCCCGUCGCUCCUACCGAUUGGGUGUGCUGGUGAAAUGUUCGGAUCGGCCGUUUGUCGCGGUUUCCGCGUCAUGUGGCUGAGAAGUUCACUAAACCCUCCCACCUAGAGGAAGGAGAAGUCGUAACA
rnacentral:rRNA from 1 species